rnacentral:lncRNA from 1 species
GACUUUUUUAGGUCUUUUUUUUUGACACUUAUUAUGAUCGGAGAAAGUAUUUUGAUACGGUUUUUUUGCUCAUGCUCUGUUCUGUGUACUCCAAAGAUAAAAGGAUAAAUUCACUACAGACUGACGAUGGGGCGAAUAUGCAACAUAAUUUCAAAUUCUUUUUGUUUAUCCAGCUGUUGAUCAAAUUUAGAUUCGACUAUUUUUCACAUGGCAGGUACAUUGUUGUGUUAAAGUUGAGACUGAAGCACCCCGAGUGCAGAAGCAGCAGAUACGUACAUUCUCACAAGUCACA